rnacentral:rRNA from 1 species
GGCUUAGAGUUUGAUCAUGGCUCAGGAUGAACGCUGGCGGCGUGCUUAACACAUGCAAGUCGAACGAAGCACUUCUGUGGAAGUUUUCGGAUGGAAACAGAAGCGACUGAGUGGCGGACGGGUGAGUAACGCGUGGGUAACCUGCCUCAUACAGGGGGAUAACAGCUGGAAACGGCUGCUAAUACCGCAUAAGCGCACAGUACCGCAUGGUACAGUGUGAAAAACUCCGGUGGUAUGAGAUGGACCCGCGUCUGAUUAGGUAGUUGGUGCGGUAACGGCGCACCAAGCCGACGAUCAGUAGCCGACCUGAGAGGGUGACCGGCCACAUUGGGACUGAGACACGGCCCAAACUCCUACGGGAGGCAGCAGUGGGGAAUAUUGCACAAUGGGGGAAACCCUGGUGCAGCGACGCCGCGUGAAGGAAGAAGUAUUUCGGUAUGUAAACUUCUAUCAGCAGGGAAGAAGAUGACGGUACCUGACUAAGAAGCCCCGGCUAACUACGUGCCAGCAGCCGCGGUAAUACGUAGGGGGCAAGCGUUAUCCGGAUUUACUGGGUGUAAAGGGAGCGUAGACGGAGCGGCAAGUCUGGAGUGAAAACCCAGGGCUUAGCCCUGGGACUGCUUUGGAAACUGUCGUUCUUGAGUGCCGGGGGGGUAAGCG